rnacentral:rRNA from 1 species
UACGUAGGGUGCGAGCGUUAAUCGGAAUUACUGGGCGUAAAGCGUGCGCAGGCGGUUCUGAAAGUCAGCUGUGAAAGCCCCGGGCUUAACCCUGGGAACUGCGGUUGAAACUACAGGACUAGAAUGCUGGCAGAGGGGGGUGGAAUUCCACGUGUAGCAGUGAAAUGCGUAGAGAUGUGGAGGAACACCGAUGGCGAAGGCAGCCCCCUGGGCCUGUACUGACGCUCAUGCACGAA